rnacentral:lncRNA from 1 species
CUGACGUCGACCGUUGCAAUAUGAAAGAUUGUGCCGUGGUUUUGGCAUCAUUUCUAACAGCAUGUCUGGCUGUAUUCUCUGAGAUCAGUGAGAUGGAGGUGCAGUUAGGGGGUCGGGUCUCGCUGCCCUGUAACAGCUCAGCGUACGGCCGGGGGGAACUGGACGUGCAGUGGGAGGCUUUGGGAAAAGACGUUGCCUUCUUCCAGGAUGGACAGCUCGUAUCUGGAUCCGGCUACGAGGGGCGACUGGAGCUCCAGAUAUCGCAGGCUCUGGAGGGGGACUUCUCUCUGACUCUGAAUCAUGCGGUGAUGAGCGACUCUGACAUGUACGAGUGUCUGUGGCAGGGGAAGAGGAGCAUCUCCACGGUGAUGCUGAAGGUCUUGCAGUCUACAUGGAUGGAGGAAGCUUUUAACGUCACUGAAAUGACCAGUUUAAGCAGCAGUACAGAGAUUACUGAAUUAACUACCUCUACUAAUGGAGACGCAACUACAGCGCAGGACACUGCUACAGCAUCUACGCCAUGGAUGGAGGAAGCUUUUAACGUCACUGAAAUGACCAGUUUAAGCAGCAGUACAGAGACUACUGAAUUAACUACCUCUACUAAUGGAAACGCAACUACAGCGCAGGACACUGCUACAGUGACCUCAGAAAUGCUGCCACAAUCUAACACAACUAUUGACUUCACUUGGUUUAUUGAUGAUGC